AUGGGCUGUCUUCCUCUGCAGUGUCUUGAAUGCUGUUGCUCUGUGGCUUUUCCAAGGACGUGGCAGUUUUCUGGAGCACUGGAGGGUUCCACAGGAGCUGCCCCCAGAUGCCUUCUGUAUUGCCUGGACCUGGUGCUUCCAGCUGUCAGCUCUGGAGCUGAUAUAGCAGCCCUGUGUUUGAGCAGCUGCAGCCCUGGGAAAGUUGUCUUACAGAGUGAAAGGACACCCAGGCUUCUGGCAGAACUGCCAGGUGGCCUCACAGGAGAUACCUACGUGGACAUAGGACAUCAGUUCUGGGAACAGCUGUUGGUGACUCCUGUUUUCCUGGAAGGUUAUCCCUGCUUGAAGAAUUAAAGUCUGCUGGCAGGAUGCAGCUCUAAGCAGAUGUAGCAGAUCAAAGAAUAUGGCUCAAAGCAUCAUUUUUUCUGUGUCAACGGAUUCACAUGCAUGGACAUGUUUUUCUGCAGCUCUGAAAGAUCAGAAUCCUGGACUUGUCACUGUAAAAAAGAACUGUUGGUUUUUGCUAGCUGCAGAAUGUCUCCCACUGUGGGAGUGGAGCAAACAAAGGGGGGAUGAAAGUAGGGGAUAUAGGCACUCACAUCCAAAGCUAAGCAGAAAGGGUUAACAAGAAAGACAUAAAGCAGCCUAACUUCCCUGUUCUUUUCCCUGAUGGUAGAUGAGAGCCUGCAAAAUGUCAAGGUUUUUGUGUACAGGCACCCAGUGCAUGUAACCUAUCUUUCAUGUUCUUUUUUAGCUUACUUAAUUGGCACAAUCAACUUCAGAAUUAAAAAGAAAAAGGAGGUAAUGGCUGAAAACUAAAUAACCAUUCCUAUAGUUUUUAAGCACAUCAUUUGAAUCAUCAGCUAUAGACAUUUAAACUGAGACGCAUUAAACUGGUUAAUGUGCAAAAUGAUAACUAAACAUCUGACCACCUGGUUGAUUAGCAUUUAGAAAGAAAUUGUACAGUUGAGAAAUAGAAACCAAUUACAGACCUUAAGAAAGACUAUGAAAGUCACAUAUCUUGCAAAUAUGAAUCCGAGGAACUUAAUAAAAAUACAUUUUUGCCAGCUGUUUCCA
rnacentral:lncRNA from 1 species